CAUGCUUUAGACUAGUCUCAAACUUGUGAGCUCAUGUGAUCCUUCUGCAUCGGCCUCCCUAGACGAUGGGACCAUAAGUGUGCAUAAUCAACAUGAAACACAAUCUUGUAUUAUACGUAUCCAAACUGCUCAGUUUUAAAGUCAGAGGAGCUUGCCUCAAACUGACAACUCGAUUCUGAGGGACUGGAAACAAGAAAGCAAUAGCUUCCCCAUGAGUAGCCGAGGCAGAGCCUCCUCAGAGAGGUGUCAUGCACAGGGAGCAUGGUAAGAGAAAGGAAAGUAGACGGCAGUGACACAGCAAUGCAAGGAGACAGGUAGGGAGAAGCAAGGGGAGAGCAAGGCCAAGAACUUGUUCAUGGCAGUAGGAGCUCUUCAGGCCAGGGUGAAUGGUCUACAGGAAUCUGACAUGACUCAUGGUUCUUUCUAAGAAGGUGACUCCAUUGACUUUGGCCUGACCCUGACUGUGAGUGAACAGCGAUGUGGCCGAUGAGCUAAUCUGAGGGAAAACAAAAGCUGAGAGAAGACAACUGUAAGCUUGGAUGUGUUCGGGGCAUCUGGAGAGGCAGCCCAUGUAAGGCCAGGUCCAACAUUCGUGAUCCAGGAUGAAGAAGGGAAAGGAUUCAGCCAUCCACAGUGACACAGAGGUCUCAGAGAAUCGAGAGUGCUCAGAGACAUGCCAAGAGCACAUGAUUGACAGGGAAGGCAACUCCUGGGAUGGAAGCCAGCCGCUCCUCUUGGUUCAGUGCCACUGGCCAGGCUGGCACACAGGAACACGUGCUCACAUCUCCCUUUGCUGGAGCAGCUGUCAAGUACUUGGCCUUUGACAUGACCUUUGGGGAUCCUCGCUGACUUGCUUCAGGCAGGGGUUUUCCAUGAAUUCAUGUGAUGCUGAUUUCCACACAAGACUCCUUAUUUUUUUCCAUGUAAAACACAGACAUUAUACCCUAAACAUUUACAGUGUAAGAGAUGAAUUGUUCAUUUAGAUGGUUCCAAUUUCAUUGCUGAUUUUUCUGUAAGUUUACCUGUAUUUUUGAUGUUUCUAACUGGUAUGUCAAAACCUCAAAAUGGAGAAACUGGGUGAUUUGCAUUGUGAUCUCUGCAGUCAAAAUGGGCCAUGAAAAUACUGUUUAGAUUUUUAGACUGUUUACAUCUGAGCUGGGGGGAGAAGUGGCCAGUAGGGAGCCAGAGUCAGAACACUGGAAUUCACAACUACUUGGAAGUUUAGUUGCCAUAAAUUCCUUAGGAAAACAGCUUGGGUUGGGGGCUAGUGUGUACACCUAUGUAAUGUAUAAGAUUGGAGGCUGAAAGGGAACUUCAGAGGUAUUGUGGGGGUUUGAAUGGUUGAGAAUGGCCUAAGUAGGCUCUUAUGUUUGAAUAUUUGGUCCCCAGUUAGUGGAACUCUUUGGGAAGAAUUAGUAGGUGUGGCCUUGUUUGGAAGAGGUGUGUCAUUAUGGGUAGGCUUUGAGGUUUCAAAAGCUCAUGCCAUUCCCAGCUAUCUAUCUCUGCCUUGUGGUUAUUCCAAGAUGUAAGCUUUCAGCUACUGCUCUGUCCCCAUGCCUGUCUUGCCUGUGCCAUGCUCCUAUCAUGAUAGGCAUGAAACUGUAAUCCCCAAUUAGUAUCUUCUUUUAUAAGUUGCUUUGGUCAUGGUGUCUCUUUGUCACCAUGUAACCAAGACAAUAGUGUUUACAGGAGGUAAACACUUCUCAUUAUUCCUCUGUACUGAUCUUCACAUGGUGGCAAUUUCAUAUGGCUCAAGUGAAUAGCACUGUGGGAAAUGAGAAGGUGGUGGUAGUGUUAGAAGACAGACAACACCACUGCACAGAAGGGGUGUGGCUCUUCCCAUCCAGCAACUCUAAAACCAGGCAGGAGAUUUGAUUCAGCAGUGGUCAAAACCAGUUCUCAAAUAUUUAGAGGACUUAAGAUAUACUGGGAGAACUAAGAUGCAAAUGAGUUGCAGAAGAUUUAUUUACUAUUAAAACUAAAGGGUAGUUCUGAAGCCUCAUGUCUUCCAUGAUCCAAUGACCUGAGACUUCAGUAAUGGUAGUAAGGUCAAGAAAGAGAAUCAGACUGACAAUGUAGGUAAACAGCGUCUUUGAGACCAAGAUUGUACAUGAGGGAUACGUAACUGAGGUCAUAGUGUUUAUUUGGUGCAUAAACUAUAUAUUAAACGUCCUUAACUUCAGCAGCAGGUAUGACUGUGUGUGCCGCAUGCUGGGGUCAGGACAGUAUAGAUGGAAGGACUAAUAAAAAGAGACAAAGCAAAAAUCCAUGUUAGUGGGCACUGAUAAACACCUCUAUGAACUCCUCGUAUCCCUGUGACCAGAGGAUAGGGCAGUGAAGGCCUUGGGAUGUUUCAUGUUCUGGUGCCCACCAGAUCCUAGCUGACAGAUAUUGAUCAAAACUGCCAGUUGGAUGCUAACUCCUCAUUCCUGAUAAUUAAACUGGAAAGGACUUCAAACUGUGAGAACAAAGAGUGCAGACAGACAGCCUCAGACUGCUCAAAAUAUCUUCCCCAGGGUCCCUCAGUAGGUAGCCCUUUCCAAGAAUGUGUUUAUCAAAAGGGCAACUGGAAACUUUGCUUUCCUAUGAACUCUGCUAACUUGCAACUUGAGAUAGCCACAGAUUGCCUCUCUUCAGAGAAGUAUACUAACUAUUUAUAAUUUCAGCUGGGACUGUCACCUCCCCUCUAUGGCUAAAAGUUAGGACACAUCCAUUUGCCCGUCCAGGUUAUGAGUGGUCUUGGAUGUGCCUGCUGCCCAGCUAACUGCAAAUGUUUCGUUGUAGAUACAUUCUUGUUCAGACUGGAAAACCAUAGUCUAAGAUGCUUCCAGAAGCAACUGUUCUGUCUCUACCCCUUGGGGUACUUUCAAGAACUGUCUACCACCAGAGGAACUUAUCUGACUUGCACUACAAUAUACUGUCAAGACACAAGAGGCCAGCAAGCAUGAUUUUGUACUGGAAUUUUACAUCUUCCUACUAAGGCUCCAAUUGGAACCUUGAAUUUUUUUAUACAAGGGAAAAAAUGGAUCAUACAUCUAUUAGAGUAGCAGGGUCCUG